rnacentral:rRNA from 1 species
AACGGCCAUACCAUGCUGAAUAUACCGGUUCUCGUUAGAUCACCGAAGUCAAGCAUCAUUGGGCGCGGUCAGUACUUGGGUGGGUGACCACCUGGGAAACA